rnacentral:snRNA from 1 species
CUCCAGUUAUUUGGUUCUGUGGC